UCAAAAUAUUUAACACCGGUGCAGCAUGGGCAUCAACCAAUCAAAAAGGGCAUCCCCAUAGGGCUGGAUCAGGUCUGGCGCCCCCUGUUGGGUGCUUUCAGUGCUGGAUCCUGGCAAGGUUGGGGAUGUGUCCCAGGGAAGGACCAACAGGGCUAGGAGAGAAGAGGGCUGUUGAGAAGUCUGGGCACAGCUCUUUAGCAGCUUUUCGGAAGCAUCUCGGUGUGACAUUGCCAAAGCCUGCUGGCUGAUGCAGCCCUACACGUGGGGGUUUCAGAGCACACCCGUGGCCUGCCCUGGGCUGAGCUUGACAUGCAAAGCAAGCUCAUUCCACCCUUAAAGGAGACCAAGAGGCGGGAGGGAUUACCGUCGUCCCACGUUACAGUGAGGGGUGAGGACCCCAGGCGCAGGAGGUUAAGCUGUUUAUUCGACGUCGCACAGCUAUAAGCGGCCGAACCAGGACCUGAACCAGGCUCUCGGACGCUGCAGCACGCCUCCCAUAGAAGUCAUGGUCUGUGGCUUGCGCUGCCCGGGGCCAGCAGAUUUACGGAGGCGCGAACCUGGGCAUCUCUUGUGCGCUCAGAGCACCGCCGGAUUGGGGGGCCAUGGAUCUGCCAACUUGACCCUGCCAGCCUGGGAAGAUCGGAGCCUCAAGAUUUUCUGUGGCUCUAAGGACCUGGCCCUGGCCCCCAAGCUUCCUCUGCAUGCAAGCUCCCUGGAAAAACCUUCCUGAUCCUUCCAGCCCACCAUUUGCAUGAAGCUCCUGACCUCCCAGCCCAUCACCUCCCCCCAAUCCCCCCCUCCUCCCCAGCAACCUCUUCUCAAACAGGAAGAUUUUAGGCUGGGUGGAAGGAGGAAGAGCAAAUCUGGAAUCAGACCAAUCUGAGGCCAGGUGCCGCUCUAGCUUGUGACUUUGAGCGCUUACGUCUCAGAGCCGUUGACCAGUCACAAGCAGAUAAUCAGAUCCAAGUAUAGGGUGUUUUUAGGAAUUAGUGAGAUCCCACAGGUACAUAGGAGAGAGUCCAUACACCCCAGUUUGCCUGGGACGGUCCCAAGUUCCACCUGCGGCUCCAGCGUCAUUGUCAGCCGUGCCCUUUAUGCUCCAAAGUAUCCCCUUUAGAUUAUAAAUUAUAGGGUCACCCCAGAAAUAAGUAAGGCAGCAGGAAGCUUUUUUCCCUUCUCUUCCUCUUGCCCUCCCUUCUCUGAUGAUUCAAUGCCUGGCUUUGUUGCUCCAUUAGUCUGCACUCCCAAAGAGAAAAAUCCCAUGGGACACCCGGGUGGCUCAGUCUGUUAAGCGUCUGACUUCGGCUCAGGUCGUGAUCUCACGGUUCGUGGGUUCGAGCCCCGCAUCGGGCUCUGUGCCGACAGCUCGGAGCCUGGAGUCCGCUUCGGAUUCUGUGUCUCCCUCUUUCUCUGCCCCUCCCCACUCUCGCUCUGUUUCCCUCUCUCAAAACAUGAAUAAACAUUAAAAAAAAUUUUUUUU
rnacentral:lncRNA from 1 species